GGGGGGGGGGGGGGGGGGGCGGAGGGGGGGCGGGGCGAGGGGGCAGACGGGGGGGUUGCGCCGCUGACGUGCGCGGCGGGCGGGUGAUGGACACGUGGAUAACCUACCUAUGAGACUUGGAUAACUUCGGGAACCCGGAGCUAAUACCGGAUGCUAUAUUGACCCGCAUGGUUCCAUAGUGCAAGGCGGUUUUGCUGUCCCUUCUAUCUGUAUCCGCGCCGCAUUCGCUAGUUGGUAAGGUAACGGCGUACCAAGGCAACGAUGCGUAGCCGACCUGAGAGGGUGAUCGGCCAAACGGGAACUGAGACACGGUCCAGACUCCGACGGGAGGCAGCAGUAGGGAAUCUUCCGCAAUGGGCGAAAGCUGGACGGAGCAACGCCGCGUGAGGGAUGAAGGUCUUCGGAUCGUAAAACUCUGUUAUUAGGGAAGAACAAAUGUGUAAGUAACUAUGCACGUCUUGACGGUACCUAAUCAGAAAGCCACGGCUAACUACGUG
rnacentral:rRNA from 1 species